GAGUAACGCGUAUGACCAACCUACCUAUCGAGGAGGGAACGUAACCCGGCGAAAGUCGGACUAAUACCGCAUAAAACAGGGGCACCGCAUGGUGAUAUUUGUUAAAGAAAUUCGCUGAUAGAUGGGCAUGCGUUCCAUUAGGUAGUUGGUGAGGUAACGGCUCACCAAGCCGACGAUGGAUAGGGAACUGAGAGGUUGGUCCCCCACACUGGUACUGAGACACGGACCAGACUCCUACGGGAGGCAGCAGUGAGGAAUAUUGGUCAAUGGGCGGGAGCCUGAACCAGCCAAGUCGCGUGAAGGAAGAAGGAUCUAUGGUUCGUAAACUUCUUUUGCAGGGGAAUAAAGUGCAGGACGUGUCCUGUUUUGUAUGUACCCUGAGAAUAAGGAUCGGCUAACUCCGUGCCAGCCGCGGC
rnacentral:rRNA from 1 species